ensembl:lncRNA
GUAAGGGGACUGGACAAUUAGGGUUAGGUAUAAGGGUCUAGGGUUUAGGAUGGGUGUAGGAAUCUGGGGAUUAGGGUGGGUAUAAUUGAUCCUAGGAUAAGAUUUAGAAAUUGAGGUUUGGCAUAGGGAUCUAGGGGUUAAGGUUAGGGUUAAGGAAUUGGGGUUAGGAAGGGGAAACCACCCAAUAAAUAAACAAAUAAAAAGUAAGUAUAAAAUAAUAAGUGCUGUCCAACAAGGACAAAUCAUCAAUGGACAGAUCAAUGAUAAAAGGUAAGUGCUAAAAAAGUAAGCAAACAAUAAGGUAAAUUCACACUACACUGAGGAAUAAAAAAUAACUGCAAUCAUAUUCAAGUUAAGUACUUAAACAACAUGUAUAAGAAUAAAAAUAAUUAAAUUAAAUAAAAUGAACAUUCCUCGUGACCGGUUCUCCUAUAACCCCUAAUUCUCCCUCAUUCCCCCCAAAAGAGGACCCCAUCCAUCAGGUAAGCAAACCAAGGUAAGUUUAAUACUUUUCAUUUAGACCCCUAGGAUCUAUCGUUUGGAGACGCCCAAUCCAAGUUCUUUCCAACCCCUGCCUCUGUGUCCUGGACCAGCUCCCAUUUGACUCCUGACUAAAAAUAAUACAAUUAUCCACUGUAUGCAAACUAAAAUGCAAAUACAGUACAGCACUGUUACCUUUAGCCAUAUUGUAUAGAUGCUGUUUGAGUCUAGUUUAUUAUGCGUUUUUUGUUUCCCCUAUGUAAAUCGUAAUACCAUAGACCACAUUUAUAGUGGACAAUUCAAUCCUCUGUCCCAUAUUGAACCCCAGACAUGAAAAGGCAUUAACAAUAUAUUUAGGCCUUUCCAAAUAUCCAUCCAGAUAAGAUAGUGCUCCUUUUAGUCUGGAAGGCCGAGAGUACUAAUCUAUCCUUGAGUUUUUUGUUUUCUUCUGAGGUCGAGUUUAAUCUAAAAUCUACCAACCUAUCCACAUCUUGAUGGGCUUCCCGGAAGUUCUAAAUCCACCCAAGCUCCCAGAAUAUGUCGUAACAAAUGGUAUUAGAUUGUGUGUUUUUAUUGUUUUAUUGUAACCCUCUCCACUUCCAAAUAAUUGACUGACCUCUUUUUAUCCCUCUAAGGAAAAGCUUAGAAUACCCCAGAGGCCCCAAAGCUCUAAAUAGAAUGGUUGUGGCGUCCUCUACAUGUAAUGUACAGAUUCUCAGGAAACGAAUUAACUGUGAUUUAAUAAUCCCUCUAAAUGUAUGUUUUGGAUGAUAACUUGCUUUAUGUAUUAGUGCACGCCUAUCAGUCUCCUUAAAGAAGACUUUAGUAGUCAAUGAUUUCAUGAGAGCCCCCGGAAAUACAAAGAAAACCUGAGUGUCCAAGAACUCAAGAUUUGUCUUUUGAAAAUGAUGGGAGAUUGUGAUAGCAGGAUGAUGUGUAUUAAGACUAUCCAAAAGACACUCAAAGUCCUGCAUGGAACUCACCCAAAUACCAAAGAUGUCAUCUAAAUACCGGAGUUAUAGAAAUGGAAGGACCUUACACUUGAGAAAUGCUGUUUCUUCCCAAAACACUUAUCUAAAUUGGCAAAAGCUGGAGCAAAUGUCUUACCCAUGGCAGUGCCAUGGAUCUGAAGAUAAAACUUAUCAUUAAAGUUAAAAACCAUUCCUUAAAAAGGCUCAAGUCCAACAAGUCUAAAAUGUCCUUAUCUGGGCAUGAGGAGUCAGGAAACUUAUUAAAAGCCUGUUUGACUAACUGCAGUCCAAAGGAUGUUUCAACGUUUGUAUAUAGCGAGUUGAUGUCCACUGAAAAUAAAAAUGCCCCUAAUGGUAAUUCAAGACCAUGUGUCCUUAACACAAGAGAUAUGUUUCUGAGAUAACGGAUUUAUAUAAAAGUCAAAGUAUUUCACAGUUAGGCAUGAUUCUGACCCACCAUCACUGACAUUUGGGCGGCCACUAGGGAUCUGGAAGCGUACAGGCCACUCCUCCAAAGGUUUAUAGAUAUUUAGGAGAAGAUAGAAUUGUCUAGGUCUGGGUACCUCCGGGCCCAAAAUUGCUUGGAGGUAAAAGCCUUAUUUUCAAGUAACUCCAGCAAAAUCAUCUUAAUCCUACUUUGAGUCUCAGAUUGAAUGGAGUGGUCCAAAGGGACAUAAUGUUUGACAUAAUUGCCUAUUUGCUUCCAGUAAAUACUGUAUUCUCUCCAUAAUUACAAUCUGUGAUCUUUUGUCAGCAGGUCUGUAUCAAUGUGAGAGAUUAGUGAUAUGAGUGUGGAGCUGUAUUCAAACACUGUUCUCCCCUUACAUGUUUAAAUUAUCAAGCCAAGAAUUUAGAAUGAUGUUUCCUGUCUCAGGCAUCCAGUGUACCGGGUCUUGUGGGAAUGUGUGGAACCUAAGUCGGCUGAUCUCAGAUGGUGAAAUGUAGCCCCAGGAAAGCUAUCUGCCUGCACUCUGGGAUCAGCAAACGUUUAUGUUCUCACUGGGACUUCCUUUCGGAUAAACUUA